AAGACCUUGCACUUUUGGAGCGGCCGAUGUCUGAUUAGCUAGUUGGUGGGGUAAAAGCUCACCAAGGCGACGAUCUGUAGCUGGUCUGAGAGGACGACCAGCCACACUGGAACUGAGACACGGUCCAGACUCCUACGGGAGGCAGCAGUGGGGAAUUUUGGACAAUGGGGGCAACCCUGAUCCAGCCAUGCCGCGUGAGUGAAGAAGGCCUUCGGGUUGUAAAGCUCUUUCAGCCGGAACGAAACGGUUACGGUUAAUACCCGUGACUACUGACGGUACCGGAAGAAGAAGCACCGGCUAACUACGUGCCAGCAGCCGCGGUAAUACGUAGGGUGCAAGCGUUAAUCGGAAUUACUGGGCGUAAAGCGUGCGCAGGUGGUUUUGUAAGUCAGAUGUGAAAUCCCCGGGCUUAACCUGGGAACU
rnacentral:rRNA from 1 species